UUUCCUCCUCGACUUUCUUCUCCCCGCUUUCGCCUUCUUGUCGAAACCCUCGAGGCCGAGCUAGGGCUCAACAGGUGCCGCCGAUCUUCCCCAGGUUUCUAUAAGGGCAUCAACUUCGGUACUAUUAUUUUCUUAUUUGAGGGAUAAGCAUUAUGCAGCAUACAAUGAUGAUAUGAGUUGCUGGAUGGUGUCUUCUACACCUCACUUCGGUGCUUGCUUUAAAGAUCUUCAAGAAGCCUUCUGUUCUUCUCUGAAGUGUUGGUGCAAAAAUUCGCUUGCGUCGGAGAAGCUGAAGUCGGGGAAGUCACGAUCGCCGCAGGGACCUGCAAGGAAAGUCUAAACCGGAGGUGGGGUUGCUCCGGCAAGACCC